rnacentral:rRNA from 1 species
AUUGAACGCUGGCGGUAGGCUUAACACAUGCAAGUCGUGCGAGAAAGUAUCUUCGGAUAUGAGUAGAGCGGCGGACGGGUGAGUAACGCGUAGGAAUCUACCUAGUAGAAGGGGAUAGCCCGGGGAAACUCGGAUUAAUACCGUAUACCUCCUUCGGGAGAAAGAAGGCCUCUCUUUGAAGCUUUCGCUAUUAGAUGAGCCUGCGUAAGAUUAGCUUGUUGGUGAGGUAAAGGCUCACCAAGGCAACGAUCUUUAGCGGGUCUGAGGGGACGAUCCGCCACAUUGGGACUGAGACACGGCCCAGACUCCUACGGGAGGCAGCAGUGGGGAAUAUUGGACAAUGGGCGCAAGCCUGAUCCAGCCAUACCGCGUGUGUGAAGAAGGCCCUAGGGUUGUAAAGCACUUUAAGUUGGGAAGAAAAGUUAUUGGUUAAUACCCAAUAACCGUGACAUUACCAUCAGAAUAAGGACCGGCUAAUUCCGUGCCAGCAGCCGCGGUAAUACGGAAGGUCCAAGCGUUAAUCGGAAUUACUGGGCGUAAAGCGCGCGUAGGUGGUUUAUUAAGUUGGAUGUGAAAUCCCCGGGCUCAACCUGGGAACUGCAUCCAAAACUGAUUCACUAGAGUACGAUAGAGGGAGGUAGAAUUCACAGUGUAGCGGUGGAAUGCGUAGAUAUUGUGAAGAAUACCAAUGGCGAAGGCAGCCUCCUGGAUCUGUACUGACACUGAGGUGCGAAAGCGUGGGUAGCGAACAGGAUUAGAUACCCUGGUAGUCCACGCCGUAAACGAUGUCAACUAGCUGUUGGAAAACUAUGUUUUUCAGUGGCGCAGCUAACGUAGUAAGUUGACCGCCUGGGGAGUACGGCCGCAAGGCUAAAACUCAAAUGAAUUGACGGGGACCCGCACAAGCGGUGGAGCAUGUGGUUUAAUUCGAUGCAACGCGAAAAACCUUACCUAUACUUGACAUACUUGGAAUGCUUUGUAAUGAAGCAGUGCCUUCGGGAGCCAAGAUACAGGUGCUGCAUGGCUGUCGUCAGCUCGUGUCGUGAGAUGUUCCGUUAAGUCGGAUAACGAGCGCAACCCUUACCCUUAUUUGCCAGCGAUUCGGUCGGGAACUAUAAGGGGACUGCCGGUGAUAAACCGGAGGAAGGUGAGGACGACGUCAAGUCAUCAUGGCCCUUACGUAUAGGGCUACACACGUGCUACAAUGGAGAAUACAGACGGACGCUAAGCCGCGAGGUGGUGCUAAUCCUAGAAAAUUCUUCGUAGUCCGGAUUGGAGUCUGCAACUCGACUCCAUGAAGUCGGAAUCGCUAGUAAUCGCGAAUCAGCAUGUCGCGGUGAAUACGUUCUCGGGUCU